UGACUCAAAGAGCCCCUGACCUGAAACACUCUCGGAGCAAUCUCCUCCACGGUCUCCUCACGAGUCGUCCGAUCCGGAUAAUAUAUCCUAGUGUACUUGUUAUCCUCCGGCUCGAGUUGGAAAUCUUUGGAGUCGAUACGCGGCACGAGCAGGGGAGCAGGCCGAGGCGCUGCGAUUGCCCCAUUCAGAAAAACUAGAAUUACUAGCAGCUAAAUGAAUGAUUAGCAAAAUCUUCAAGAGAGAAGCGACUGUGUGAAUGGCUCACCGAACUAAACAGCGUAGCAGACAUGUCGGUGAUGAUGCUUCGCCCGUGGCUGGUGGCUUGAAACUGUUAAGCCAACGCUUAGGACAUCAUAUAUUUUAACAAAAACUGGCUUGAACGCGCUAACUAAACCUGAACAAAGGCCAGACUCUAAUACUAUAAAACGGCCAGAGAUCAGAAUUGGA